UAGCUCCAUAACCCCCCAUUUAUAUAUAUGCAAAACCCACCAAGCUCAUUCUGGUUUUUCUCAAACUUCUGUUGCCAAUUUUGGAGAACAUGAAGCCACAGCAUCAACUGUAAGGAAGAUUUUGUCCUCGCCAAUUGUAUUUGCAAAAUUGGACGCAUGGAGCUUGUCAAUCACCACAGGACCAGGAUUUGCCAGAAUAAGCUGAACAUCCUUCUUCUGGAGGCUCUUGUAUAACUCUUCCAAGGCAUGGAUGCCACUGGUGUCAAUGUCAGUAACAGGAGACAUCUCCACUAUCAAAAACUGGAUUUUCGGUUGGUAUGAUGCUUUUAACUGUUCUUCCUCAUCUGUCAACCAUCUCAGUAUCCUCUCUCUAACAUAAUUGGAAUUUGAAAAGUAAAUUGCCGAAUCAACUCUCACAAUCAAAACACCCUGAACCAUGGUUGCUCCUGGAUACUGUUGAAUGUUUCUGUACACAGUUGUCCCAGGUAGCUUCCCAAGAAUAGCAGUCCGGGGCCUGGUAACUUGUAGGAGAAUUUUGGCGAAGGAUAUUGAGACCGCAAUCAAGAGGCCUUUCUCCACAGAUGAAAAAACUACACCAAAGAAGGCUCCCAUGCAAGCAAUGAAAUCAAAUUUAUCUAUCUUCCAUAUCAAAAUUGCUGCCUCAAAAUCAAUUAGGCCAAC
rnacentral:misc_RNA from 1 species